rnacentral:rRNA from 1 species
CUUAAAGUGUCCGUAGCCGGUUUAGUAAGUUCCUGGUAAAACCGGGCAGCUUAACUGUCCGUAUGCUAGGAAUACUGCUAUGCUAGAGGGCGGGAGAGGUCUGAGGUACUACAGGGGUAGGGGUGAAAUCUUAUAAUCCUUGUAGGACCACCAGUGGCGAAAGCGUCAGACUGGAACGCGCCUGACGGUGAGGGACGAAAGCCAGGGGAGCGAACCGGAUUAGAUACCCGGGUAGUCCUGGCCGUAAACGAUGCAUACUAGGCAAUGGUGCGGCCAUGAGCCGCAUCAGUACCGUAGGGAAACCGUUAAGCGUGCCGCCUGGGAAGUACGGUCGCAAGGCUAAAACUUAAAGGAAUUGGCGGGGGAGCACCACAAGGGGUGAAGCCUGCGGUUCAAUUGGACUCAACGCCGGGAAACUUACCAGGGGAGACAGCAGAAUGACAGUCAGGUUGACGACCUUACUCGACGAGCUGAGAGGAGGUGCAUGGCCGUCGCCAGUUCGUGCUGUGAGGUAUCCUGUUAAGUCAGGCAACGAACGAGAUCCGCGCCUUUAUUUGCCAUCAAGAAGUCACGACUUCGUUGGGAACACUAAAGGGACCGCCGUCGAUAAGACGGAGGAAGGAGCGGGCAAAGGC